UUCUUAAAGAAAAGAAUAAGGGCU
rnacentral:piRNA from 1 species